ACCUUGUAGAUGUCCUUCAGUGAGCCCUUGGGAGCCUUGGUGGUAUCCAAAGCCUUGACAUCCUCCUUCAUCAGAUUUUCUCUCUGAUGAGCUGAAAGAGCUGUGAGGCCUGCUGGCUGUGGCUACCUACCUGCACAAAGCAGCCUUCAUGAAGGAGAUCCGAUUCUGGACAUGUCCGUGCAUAGUAAACGGUGACAGCUU